AAAGUUCGACUCUUUUUAUAUUGAGGUAAAUAAAAUUUAAGGAAAAAUUAGUAUAAACGGAUAGUAGAUGGAUAAUUAGGGUGUUAUAUAGGUUAAAACGUAAUAGAAACGAAAAAAAGGCCAAGAGGGGAUAAAGCCAAAUAUUUAAAUAAAGACAAGAAAAAGAUCUUAAGAAUUGAAACAUCUUAGUAUUAAGAAAAAAUAAAUCAAGCGAAAAUUUCGUAAGUAGUGGUGAGCGAAAGCGAAUAAAAGUAUAGGUGAUGAUAAAUGAAUUCCAAAGAGGGUAACAGUCCCGUAAGAUUUAUAAAGUUUUAAAGUAGAAUUAUUUGAAGUAGGGUGUUCCAUACAUCUAAAGCUAAAUAAUAUAACACACCGAAAGUGAAGGAGUACUGUGAAGGAAAAUUGAAAGAGAAAAAAAAUGAAAAAGAUAUUAAAAUUUACUAUUUAUAAGCAGAUGGAGUUCAUCGUACCUUUUGCAUAAUGGGUUCAUAAGAAAAAUAUUUGGCAAACUUAAGUUAAUAAAGUGUAAGUAGAGUGAAAACAAAUUUGAAUGUUAGGGGUGUUAGUCAGAUAGAGCCCGAAACCAAGUGAUCUAGCCAUGAGCAGUUUGAAGCUUUCUUAAUCGAGAGUGGAGGAGCGAACCGGUAAUUGUAGCAAAAAUUUCGGAUGAUUUGUGGUUAGGGGUAAAAAGCCAAUCGAACUUGGAGAUAGCUGGUUUUUUGCGAAAACUAUUUAAGUAGUGUGUUAUUAGGUGUGAUUUUUAUAUGGUAAAGCACUGGGGGGGCUUAUCUAUAGGGUGAGUUCAAUCAAACUAUGAAUGUAUAAAAAGAAGUAAUAAUAGACAGACAAUGGGCGAGAAGGUUCAUUGUCAAAAGGGGAACAACCCAGAUCAUAAGUUAAGGUCGUUAAGAGUUUUAAACUAAGUGUUAAAAAGAGUUAUUUGGUGGGGACAGUAAGAAAGUAGGCUUGGAGCCAGCCAUCUUUAAAAGAUUACGUAAUAGUUCACUUAAUAAAUUAAUAAUUCUUAAAAAUUAUGGCGGCUUAAGUUUAAAAAUUACCGAAACUUUGAAUAGAAGAUAAUUAUUUGAAAGUAUGGUAGCUUAAUAUAUUAAUCUAGCAUAAGAAUUAUGGUAGCAAAACGUUUAGUAGUGAAAAAUUCUAUUGAAAAAGGGUAUCUAAAGUGAUAAUGUGAACAUGAGUAAAAAACAAUGUGAGAAUCAUUGCUCACAGCCUAAGGUUUCCAAUAAAAAGAUGUUCUGAAUUGGGUUAUACAGUUUUUAAGGGGAUACUGAUAAAAAAGAAAUAAAAAGUGGAAGAGAUUAUUGAGUUAAACGUUGGACUGUUCGUCCAUUAAAAUCAUAUAGGUUUUAUACUUAAAACUGUACUAAAUCUAACACGAGUGGGCAAAAGUGAUGGUAUAAUUUAUCUUAAGGAACUCGGCAAAAUGGCCUUGUAAGUUCGCAAGAAAAGGUGCUAAUUAUUUAAUCAAAAAAUUGGUAAGUAAUUAGUCUCAGUAAAGAGGGGGUGUCGACUGUUUACCAAAAACAUAGCUUUCAGCAAAAAACCUUUGGUUUGAAGUAUUGAAGGUGAGGCCUGCCCAGUGGUUGUAUCUCAACCCAAAUGAUAGAAGAAGUUGUUUGGUUAAGGGCAAUUUAACGGCCGCGGUAAAUCUGACCGUGAUAAUGUAGCGCAAUCAAUAGCCAAUUAAUUGUUGGCAAGUAUGAAUGGCUUAACGAAUGCCCCACUGUCUCAAGAUAAAAACCAAUGAAAUUGAAGUUGUAGUGAAGAUGCUACAUAUAAAUUAUAAGACGAGAAGACCCCAUUGAGCUUUACUGGGGGCUUAUAUAGUCUUUUUCCAAUUAAUAUUUAGAUUAUGUGGGUAUUAUUAACCAAUUAAAAAGGGUAGAAAUGUGGAAGACCACUUGUUAAUAGGGGGGGAAGACUAAUUAAAAAGAAGAGUAUAAGUUGGACAGUUUAGUUGGGGCGACUGCCUUCUAAAUAGUAACGAAGGCGGGCAUAAGGUAAAUAAUCUAAUAAAAUAAAGUAAAAAGCCUGACAGCAAGAAGGACUUUCAAGCUGACACAAAUAAAGGGUUUUAUAUUGUGGGCUGUAAUGACCCGUUAGUGAAUAGUGGAAUUGCUAACGAUUAACGAAUAAAAGUUACCAUGGGGAUAACAGCGUAAUAUUGUUUGAGAGUUCUUAUCGACGACAAUGUUUGCGACCUCGAUGUUGAAUUGUGAUAUCCUGGAGGUGUAGCCGUUUCCAAGGGUUGGACUGUUCGUCCAUUAAAAUCAUACAUGAUUUGAGUUCAGACCGGUGUGAGCCAGGUCGGUUUCUAUCUAUAAUUUAUUUAAGAAACAUAAGAUAAAACUAUAUUCUAGUACGAAAGGAUCGAGUGAUAGUUAUCCGCUGGUGUACCAAUUACUGGUUUAAUUAUAAAUAAACAAAUAGUUGUUGGGUGGCUAUGAUAAUAUAAAAUAAAUUUUUAAUCUUUGAAUGCAUCUCAAAAGAGAAAAAAGAUAUUAUUCUGUGUUUCUAGAAAUUUUAUGGUUGGGCUGUUCGUCCAUUCCAUAAUGACCUGUAAGGCCGUUUUAGAAUAAGACGUGAAUAGGGUUUAUAUGGUAGUUUAAAACCACU
rnacentral:rRNA from 1 species